CUUGCGGCUGAUUACCUUGUUGGUAAGGYAAUGGCUUACCAAGGCGACGAUCAGUAUCUGGUUUGAGAGGACGAUCAGACACACUGGAACUGAKACACGGUCCAGACUCCUACGGGAGGCAGCAGUGGGGAAUUUUCCGCAAUGGGCGAAAGCCUGACGGAGCAAUACCGCGUGAGGGAUGAAUGCCUAUGGGUUGUAAACCUCUUUUUUCAGGGAGGAACAAAAUGACGUGUACCUGAAGAAUAAGCAUCGGCUAACUCCGUGCCAGCAGCUCGCGGUAAGACGGAGGAUGCAAGUGUUAUCCGGAAUCACUGGGCGUAAAGCGUCUGUAGGUGGUUUAAUAAGUCAACUGUUAAAUCUUGAGGCUCAACCCUCGAAACCGCAGUCGAAACUAUUAKGAAGUAGGGGUA
rnacentral:rRNA from 1 species